rfam:Schistosoma curassoni strain Dakar, Senegal genome assembly, scaffold: SCTD_scaffold0002102
GCACUGCUGAGGAGUCCCAUACUAGGACGAAACGUCGUCCAGUGC